GGUUUGUAGCUCAGUGGUAAAGUGCUUGCCUCGCAUAUGUAGGGCACUGGGUUCAAUCCUCAGCACCA
rnacentral:tRNA from 1 species